rnacentral:rRNA from 1 species
GAUGAACGCUGGCGGCGUGCCUAAUACAUGCAAGUCGAGCGAACAGACGAGGAGCUUGCUCCUCUGACGUUAGCGGCGGACGGGUGAGUAACACGUGGAUAACCUACCUAUAAGACUGGGAUAACUUCGGGAAACCGGAGCUAAUACCGGAUAAUAUAUUGAACCGCAUGGUUCAAUAGUGAAAGACGGUUUUGCUGUCCCUUAUAGAUGGAUCCGCGCCGCAUUAGCUAGUUGGUAAGGUAACGGCUUACCAAGGCAACGAUGCGUAGCCGACCGGAGAGGGGGAUCGGCCACACUGGAACUGAGACACGGUCCAGACUCCUACGGGAGGCAGCAGUAGGGAAUCUUCCGCAAUGGGCGAAAGCCUGACGGAGCAACGCCGCGUGAGUGAUGAAGGUCUUCGGAUCGUAAAACUCUGUUAUUAGGGAAGAACAAAUGUGUAAGUAACUAUGCACGUCUUGACGGUACCUAAUCAGAAAGCCACGGCUAACUACGUG